CCCCCCCCCCCCCGCUGCCACCACCUCUUGAGCCGCCAUUCAUAGGCGACAGCGCUGUCGGUUUAGUCUUCAUUCUCAUCAUUUUUUUUUUUUAAAUUUAACUCUCUUUGUUGCUUGUAUCGGUUGCAAAAAUUUAUGACACUUUUCAGGCAAAAGAGCCUCAGAUCUCUAAGAACAGUGAUUCUUCACGAUCUGCGUUAGAAAUCAAAGAUACUCAUCUGAGACAAAGCUGUUCGACUCUGUUUCUGAUUCAGUUUCAGAAUGCUUCCACCACAGCAUUACAGGAGUCCAAUCCCGACAGCCACGCGUACACUGAGAGAGAGAGAGAGGGAGAGAGAGAGAA
rnacentral:misc_RNA from 1 species